rnacentral:sRNA from 1 species
AAGGAUCAUUACAGUUAGUUUAUGUUCUCUCUGCCUGCGCUUAAUUGCGCGGCGAAGAACAGACAACCUUACACACUGUGUUUUUGUUUUUUUGAAACAUUGCUUUGGCUUGGCUUCAUUGUCGGGCCAGAGACCACACCAAACUUCAAAUUUUUUUGAAUUGUUUUUUUAAAUACGUUUGUCAAUUUUGUUUGAUUAAUUUCAAAAUAAUCUUCAAAACUUUCAACAACGGAUCUCUUGGUUCUCGCAUCGAUGAAGAACGCAGCGAAAUGCGAUAAGUAAUAUGAAUUGCAGAUUUUCGUGAAUCAUCGAAUCUUUGAACGCACAUUGCGCCCUCUGGUAUUCCGGAGGGCAUGCCUGUUUGAGCGUCAUUUCUCUCUCAAACCGCAAGGUUUGGUAUUGAGUGAUACUCUUAGUCGGACUAGGCGUUUGCUUGAAAUGUAACGGCAGGAGUGUACUAGAUAGUACGAACUGGUUAUUCAAUGUAUUAGGUUUAUCCAACUCGUUGAAACGCCGGGGCAGUAAAUUUCUGGUAAUUUGGCUCGGCCUUAUAACAACAAACAUAAGUUUGACCUCAAAUCAGGUAGGAUUACCCGCUGAACUUAAGCAUAUCAAUAAGCGGAGGAAAAGAAACCAACAGGGAUUGCCUUAGUAGCGGCGAGUGAAGCGGCAAUAGCUCAAAUUUGAAAUCUGGCGUCUUCGGCGUCCGAGUUGUAAUUUGAAGAAGGUAUCUUUGGUUUUGGCUCUUGUCUAUGUUCCUUGGAACAGGACGUCACAGAGGGUGAGAAUCCCGUGCGAUGAGAUGCCCAAUUCCAUGUAAAGUUCCUUCGACGAGUCGAGUUGUUUGGGAAUGCAGCUCUAAGUGGGUGGUAAAUUCCAUCUAAAGCUAAAUAUUGGCGAGAGACCGAUAGCGAACAAGUACUGUGAAGGAAAGAUGAAAAGAACUUUGAAAAGAGAGUGAAAAAGUACGUGAAAUUGUUGAAAGGGAAGGGCUUGAGAUCAGACUUGGAAUUUUCCAGCAAUGGAGCUUUCCGGGCCAGCAUCAGUUUGGAUGGCAGGAUAAUUGCGUAGGAAAGUAGCCCCACCUCGGUGGUGUAUUAUAGCCUGCGUCGAUACUGCCUGUCUAGACUGAGGACUGCGUCUUUGACUAGGAUGCU